CACAGGUGCUGCAUGGCUGUCGUCAGCUCGUGUCGUGAGAUGUUGGUUAAGUCCCGCAACGAGCGCAACCCUUGUCAUUAGUUGCUACAUUCAGUUGGGCACUCUAAUGAGACUGCCGGUGACAAGCCGGAGGAAGGUGGGGAUGACGUCAAGUCCUCAUGGCCCUUAUAGUGGGGGCUACACACGUCAUACAAUGGCUGGUACAAAGGGUUGCCAACCCGCGAGGGGGAGCCAAUCCCAUAAAGCCAGUCGUAGUCCGGAUCGUAGUCUGCAACUCGACUACGUGAAGUCGGAAUCGCUAGUAAUCGUGGAUCAGAAUGUCACGGUGAAUACGUUCCCGGGUCUU
rnacentral:rRNA from 1 species